GAUGAACGCUGGCGGCGUGCCUAAUACAUGCAAGUCGAGCGAACAGACGAGGAGCUUGCUCCUCUGACGUUAGCGGCGGACGGGUGAGUAACACGUGGAUAACCUACCUAUAAGACUGGGAUAACUUCGGGAAACCGGAGCUAAUACCAGAUAACAUGUUGAACCGCAUGGUUCAACAGUGAAAGACGGUCUUGCUGUCACUUAUAGAUGGAUCCGCGCCGCAUUAGCUAGUUGGUAAGGUAACGGCUUACCAAGGCAACGAUGCGUAGCCGACCUGAGAGGGUGAUCGGCCACACUGGAACUGAGACACGGUCCAGACUCCUACGGGAGGCAGCAGUAGGAAAUCUUCCGCAAUGGGCGAAAGCCUGACGGAGCAACGCCGCGUGAGUGAAGAAGGUCUUCGGAUCGUAAAACUCUGUUAUUAGGGAAGAACAAAUGUGUAAGUAACUAUGCACGUCUUGACGGUACCUAAUCAGAAAGCCACGGCUAACUACGUG
rnacentral:rRNA from 1 species